rnacentral:tRNA from 1 species
GUGCCUGUAGCUCAGUUGGCAGAGCAAUCCCCUGAUAAGGGAUGGGUCGGCGGUUCGAUUCCGUCCAGGCACA